rnacentral:rRNA from 1 species
UACGUAGGGUGCAAGCGUUGUCCGGAAUUAUUGGGCGUAAAGAGCUCGUAGGCGGUUUGUCACGUCGGAUGUGAAAUCCCGGGGCUUAACCUCGGGCCUGCAUUCGAUACGGGCUGACUAGAGUUCGGUAGGGGAGACUGGAAUUCCGCGUGUAGCAGUGAAAUGCGUAGAUAUGCGGAGGAACACCGAUGGCGAAGGCAAUCCCCUGGGCCUGCACUGACGCUCAUGCACGAAAGCGUGGGGAGCAAACAGG